rnacentral:lncRNA from 12 species
GUUAGAAUAUCCUGGGCCUAGGUCUUUGUUCUCAGUGGAGUAUUUGUGUGCUUCCUGCAUUACUUAGGGUUAGAUGAAUGCCUUAUUAUAAUUAAUGGGUAAGGAUCAGGAUUUGAGGAGCCAUCCAGAUGGCCUACAAUCCAGGAAAAGCUAUCAAGAGUCUGAAGUAUUGGCUUUUAGUGUGGAGGAAUUGGCAUCAAUAAGUAAACCUGGUUUUUUCUUCUUCAUGUAUAUAUGUAUGUAUGUGUGUGCACAAUGCCCAGCAGUCACGCACCAUUAAGAAAGUCAGGCAUGUCCAAUAAAAUUAGAGCUUCCUGGUCUAACUUGGGUCUCUGGUACAGUCAAGCCUCAGCCUGUCUCAAAAGGCGUUAGCUGGGCAUCAAGUGCUCUUCAAACUGGACGUGACUUAGAGACCAACCUGUUUAUUAAUCUCAUGGUACAGAUGGGGAAACUGAAGGAGAAGAGGAGAAGGAACUUCAUAUCGCAGAGAUCAGCAUCCAGUUUGGUUGCUCUGGAAGAAACAAGAGAAGAGUGCUUCUGAGUACAUAGAUCCUCCUUUGGAUGCAUAAUAAGAAUCACAUGCUGAUAUUCUCCGGCAGGUGGGGAUCCUGGAUUUCCGUCUUGACUGCCCCUAUGCAUCAGCACCAAGAGAAUGGGGCCAGAGAGUGGUGAGAGGGAGAGAUGCCUCAGGAAGCCUCCCCUGGAAGGAAGAACUGAUCCUGCCUUAAAGCCCCCCCCACCACCCAGGCCAGAGACAAAACGCAUACCAUAGAAGAGGCAUCCAGAAUGGAAACAACUGUCCAAGCCACCGCAGGAAGCUUACACCCCACGUUCCCAGGCAGAAGUGUGGAUGUUUCCAAACCUAACAGUCUUGGUCCUGAAGUCUCCGGGCUGAUGGAAUGGCUCCUGGUCUACCUUGUGCACUUGUGGAGCACUCACAUCAUACAGCCCCUUAGAGCUCACGAGGCACUCGGACCAGUGGUUACUCUCAUGUGGUCAUCACGUGCCCCACAUGAGAUGGGUCAUUUGAACUAUUCUAGGAGCACCUGAGUGGCUCAGUCAGUUACGUGUCUGCCUUCGGCUGGGGUCAUGUUCCAGAAGCCUGGCAUCUAGGUCAAUGUGGGGCUUUCCCCUCAGUGGGGAGUCUGCUUCUCCCUCUCCCUCUGCCCCUGCCUUGCUCGUGCUUUCUCUCUCGACUACAGAAAUAAAUAAAAUCUUUUUAAAAAGAUAAUUAUUCUA